CCCCACACACACACACAGCCCAGAGAUCUCCGCAGAGCGAGGGCGACGGCUGCCGAACGUCCGCGGCCAUCCACGCGCGUUGGCCCGCGGGUGGGGACGCGCGAGUGCUUUGUACGGAUAGUCUUUGGAGCAGAGUGAAAGAUUUGAGAAAAGUAAAAGCAGAGAAGGAAAGAAAAAGAAGGCAAAAUGAAUGCGUCAGAAAGGACUGGAAUAAAAAUGUACUAAGAAAAGGAGAAGAAAAAGCCAAAGGAAUGUAGAAGUGAAAAUAAAUGAAUGAAUAAAUGAAUAAAUGCAUUAAUUAAUAAUAAGGACAACUCACUUUGGCUUUGGAAAUCCCCUCUGGAUAAUUUGCAUUGGAUCCGGAAAUAAAAUAGAAAACCAAAAUUUUCUCAA